rnacentral:rRNA from 1 species
CAACGGUUAAACCUGGCCACCAACGAAUGAGUGUUAGGGGUUUCGACCUGGUGCCGAAGUAACCAUAAGCAUCUGGGGGUACGGUCAAGAUGAAAUAAGAAUUGGGGGCCCCAACGUGGAUGGGUUAUUNAAGCAAGAAGACUUACCAGGUCUUGACAUCCUUGACCGGAGAGAUANCUUCCUUCGGGACAAGAACGUGGCGUGUGUCAUGGUGUAAGUGGUAAGCCCGCAACAGGCACCCUUUUUUUGCCUUCGGKUGGGCACUCUAAGGUGACUGCCGGUGACAAACCGGAGGAAGGUGGGGAUGACGUCAAAUCAUCAUGCCCCUUAUGACCUGGGCUACACACGUCUACAAUGGCCGGUACAAMGGGCUGCGAAGCCGCGAGGUGGAGCUAAUCCAAAAGCCGGUCUCAGUUCGGAUUGCAGGCUGCAACUCGCCUGCAGAAGUCGGAAUGCGUCGGCAGCAUGCGU